AUUGAACGCUGGCGGCAGGCCUAAUACAUGCAAGUCGAACGGUAACAUAAGAAAAGCUUGCUUUUCUUGAUGACGAGUGGCGGACGGGUGAGUAAGAUUUGGGAAACUACCUGAUANAGGGGGACAACAGUUGGAAACGACUGCUAAUACCGCAUACAGCCUCAGGGUGAAAGGAGCAAUCCGCUAUGAGAUGGACCCGCGUCGCAUUAGCUAGUUGGUGAGGUAACGGCUCACCAAGGCGACGAUGCGUAGCCGACCUGAGAGGGUGAUCGGCCACAUUGGGACUGAGACACGGCCCAGACUCCUACGGGAGGCAGCAGUGGGGAAUAUUGCACAAUGGGGGAAACCCUGAUGCAGCAACGCCGCGUGAGUGAUGACGGUCUUCGGAUUGUAAAGCUCUGUCUUUAGGGACGAUAAUGACGGUACCUAAGGAGGAAGCCACGGCUAACUACGUG
rnacentral:rRNA from 1 species